UGACCUGGCCUAGUGAGUCUGCUGAUGACCGUACAUCAGAGUGGGUCAGACAAUUCCCCACAUCUGUGCCUGACAAUGUCACAUCACCUGGAGUGCAAUCUUGUGAUGAUUCAGUCCACCCUAUUUCAUGUCCUUCAGAGCCGCAUAUCGUAGAGCAACCGACAACUAGAUUUGGGAGGGUUAUUAAACCAGUUUGCUGGCUUAUUGACUCUAUGGCUCAGAUAGAAAUACUUUUGGACGUAUGAAACAUAAAGUUUUUUUUUACAUGCAUAGGUUUUCUGAAUGCAUGAAAAACUCGUGUUUGACAGAAUUCCUUGUAUUUUUAUUUGUUUUUCUUGGAUGCUUUUCUUUUUUAGUAAGGGAACCUGGAAAUCUGUAUUUUGUGUAGCUAAACGUUAAGGUGUAAAAGGCACCUUAUAAUGUCUGGAGUUUUUAUUUUUGGGAGUGCUAUGACUCUAGCACAUCUCAGGUCUCUAACCUUUCAUUAUGUAGCAUGUUGCUGAUUUGUUUGGCUCAGUUUAUUGAUUCCUCAGACCAAAGUCACGUAUGCUUUUGUAAAUAUAUUUGUAUUUUGUGUAAUUCUAAGGGGGUGAGUGUAACAGGACGUGAUCUGUUCAUUUUAAUUACACAAAAUAUUGACUGUCUCUAAGUUUCUUUCCCCCCUUGUAUUCUGUGUUGGGUUUUGUAGCCCCUCCUUAAUGUGUUCUUCUUCGUGGUUUUCUCUUUAUAAGGUUGGCGCUUUCUUUCCCUCUCUCCUUUUUGUUUUACUGUCCAGCGGGAGAGGUGGGUGUCCUGUAAUGUUAGCCAUAUGAAUCCUCAUUUUAUGUUAAUUAUUGUGCCAUAUACUGUUAUUAUUUGGAAUCUGUUAUGAAAAACAUAAAAACCUUUGUAGAUGUUAACUGUUUAUUUCAGAAUAAGAAUUUCCCGUUCAUGUUCUGUGCUCCCUCUACCUCUCACCCUCAUGUAGGAGCUAAUACGGGAUGCUAACACCGUAAUUUCUAUUUUCUUUUUGGAAAAUUGCCAGAUACGCAAUAAACGGAGGUGGUCUCCAAGGGUG